rnacentral:rRNA from 1 species
GACGAACGCUGGCGGCGUGCUUAACACAUGCAAGUCGAACGAGUGGCGAACGGGUGAGUAACACGUGGGUGACCUGCCCUGCACUUCGGGCUAAGCCUGGGAAACUGGGUCUAAUACCGGAUCGUGUGGGAUGGGCCCGCGGCCUAUCAGCUUGGGGGUGGGGUAAUGGCUCCCAAGGCGCGACGGGUAGCCGGCCUGAGAGGGUGGACGGCCACAUUGGGACGGAGACACGGACCAGACGCUUACGGGAGGCAGCAGUGGGGAAUAUUGCACAAUGGGCGGACGCCGGAUGCAGCCAGUCCGCGGGUAUGAAGAAGGCCUUAUGGUUGUAAAGUACUUUCAGCGGGGAGGCGUUACCCGCAGAAGAAGCACCGGCUAACUCCGUGCCAGCAGCCGCGGUAAUUAAC